rnacentral:rRNA from 1 species
CAAUAGCGUAUAUUAAAGUUGUUGCAGUUAAAAAGCUCGUAGUUGGAUUUGUGGCGUACGGUGGGUUCCGGGCACUUGUUGUCUGAGUAACUUGCUGUUGCCAUCCUUGGGUGGAACCUGUGUGGCAUUAGGUUGUCGUGCAGGGGAUGCCCAUCAUUUACUGUGAAAAAAUUAGAGUGUUCAAAGCAGGCUUAUGCCGUUGAAUAUAUUAGCAUGGAAUAAUGAGAUAGGACUUUUUUGCUAUUUUGUUGGUUUGCAGACCGAAGUAAUGAUUAAUAGGGAUAGUUGGGGGUAUUUAUAUUCCGAUGUCAGAGGUGAAAUUCUUAGAUUUUCGGAAGAUAAACUUAUGCGAAAGCAUUUACCAAGGAUGUUUUCAUUAA